rnacentral:lncRNA from 1 species
AAACAAAACCAAGAGAAAAAAAUGGAUACACAUGACCUAACCCAUAAAGGGGGGUUUUUUUAAAAUAAAAAUAAAAAGAAAGAAAAAAAAGGGGGCUUAAUGCCCUGAACAUAAGCAGAAGGCGUUUUAUUUUAAACGCAAGAAAAGAACCUAAACCCUUCUGCGAAACGAAGGCAGUCACGAAGUUACUGACGCACGGAAAAUUCUAGGUUCUUUACCAAUCACUUAUUCUUGAAUUCAGGUAUGUAAAAUCCCUUAUUGUCAAUUACCCUACAGUAGUAAUAUGUAAGAAUUGAAUAGCUAAAUCCCUUCUUCCUCUAUAUCAUCAAUAAAUUUCAUAAUUAGGUGUAAUACUUUAAAAUUGAUCAAAAUACACCGAUUGUUGUAGAAUCGAUUGUUUGACUGGUGUCAAUUGGACUGGGGUCUACGUAUUAGCUCAAGGAGUUUUGAGAUGAGUUGAUAUUACCCUUUACUAAAGUGGUUUAACUCACAAAAGCACGCACCCAAGGCGUUUGAUGAAUUGCUUAAAAGAGUUUAUAUUUAUUUAAUUAGAGAGACUGAGUACCCAAUUAAUUUAGAAUUGUUCUAGAAAAAGUUUAGAUGAUCUAUUAUGCUAUAUGUGCUGAAAUUUUCAGAUAUUUUUGUGUUAUCCUUAUAUGCUAUUUUCAUGUUGAAAAUUAUGAAGAAGAAAGAAUUUUUAGAAAUAUUUUUAUAGGUUUAUUUCGUUCUUAUGCCAUGCUUUGCAUUUAAGGACACCAACAUGAGCUUGUAUCCUUAUAUGUUAUUUUCAUGUUGAAAAUUAUGAAGAAGAAACAAUCUUUAGAAAUAUUUUUAUAUGCUUAUUUCGUUCUUAUAUCAUGCUUUACAUUUAAGGACACCAACAUGAGCAUGUACAUAAUGUUCUAUAAAGAAAAGAUUUAGACUUGAAAAGUUACAAGAAGAAGUUUUAGAAAGAAAAGAUUUUUGGGGAGUAUCNN